rnacentral:lncRNA from 1 species
UUAAGAUGCAGGAGGAAUGGCUGGGCCUGACAUUUGAGGAGAAAGAAGAGCAUUUGGUAAGGCAGGAGAGAGGUUGCUGACAGGAGGAGGGCCAUGAUCCUUUGCAUGAUGUUGAAAGCUAGUCUGAGCAGCACCAUUGGCCUGGGCCUGUGACUUUCUCUCAGCACAUUCAGUAGCCUGGGUGCAGGAAAGAGAAGGCAGAGUGUAGAGCCAUCCAGAUUUGGGGUUUUCCAGCCAGGAAAGAAGGGAAGGCCAUGGGGCAAGGGAGUUUAGGCAUCACUG